GCGGUUUAAGUUCCUAUACUCAAUCAUACACAUGACAUCAAGUCAUAUUCGACUCCAAAAAAAUCACCAAGCUUCUUCUUGCUUCUCAAAGCUUUGAUGGUUUAGCCAAAGUCCAUAUGAGUCUUUAUCUUUGUAUCUUCUAACAAGGAAACACUACUUAGGCCUUUAGGAUAAGGUUGCGGUUUAAGUUAUUAUACUCAAUCAUACACAUGACAUCAAGUCAUAUUUGACUCCAAAACAAUAACCAAGCUUCUUCUUGCUUCUCAAAGCUUUGAUGGUUUAGCCGAAGUCCAUAUGAGUCUUUGUCUUUGUAUCUUCUAACAAGGAAACACUACUUAGGCUUUUAGGAUAUGGUUGUGGUUUAAGUUCUUAUACUCAAUCAUAAACAUGACAUCAAGUCAUAUUCGACUCCAAAACACUAAUCAAGCUUCUUCGUGCUUCUCAAAGCCUUGAUGGUCUAGCCGAAGUCCAUAUGAGUCUUUGUCUUUGUAUCUUCUAACAAGGAAACACUACUUAGGGUUUUAGGAUAAGGUUGCGGUUUAAGUUCUUAUACUCACUCAUACACAUGACAUCAAGUCAUAUUCGACUCCAAAACACUAACCAAGCUUCUUCUUGCUUCUCAAAGCUUUGAUGGAUAAGCGGAAGUCCAUAUGAGUCUUUGUCUUUGUAUCUUCUAACAAGGAAACACUACUUAGGCUCUUAGGAUAAGAUUGCGGUUUAAGUUCUUAUACUCAAUCAUACACAUGACAUCAAGUUAUAUUCGACUCCAAAACACUAGCCAAGCUUCUUCUUGCUUCUCAAAGCUUUGAUGGUUUAGCCAAAGUCCAUAUGAGUCUUUAUCUUUGUAUCUUCUAACAAGGAAACACUACUUAGGCCUUUAGGAUAAGGUUUCGGUUUAAGUUCUUAUACUCAAUCAUACACAUGACAUCAAGUUAUAUUCGACUCCAAAACACUAACCAAGCUUCUUCUUGCUUCUCAAAGCUUUGAUGGUUUAGCCGAAGUCCAUGUGAGUCUUUGUCUUUGUAUCUUCUAACAAGGAAACACUACUUAGGCUUUUAGGAUAAGACUCCGGUUUAAGUUCUUAUACUCAAUCAUUCACAUGACAUCAAGUCAUAUUCGACUCCAAAACACUAACCAAACUUCUUCUUGCUUUUCAAAGCUUUGAUGGUUUAGCAAAAUUCCAUAUGAGUCUUUAUCUUUGUAUCUUCUAACAAGGAAACACUACUUAGGCUUUUAGGAUAAGGUUGCGGUUUAAGUUCUUAUACUCAAUCAUACACAUGACAUCAAGUCAUAUUCGACUCCAAAACAAUAAUCAAGCUUCUUUUUGCUUCUAAAAGCUUUGAUGGUUUAGCCGAAGUCCAUAUGAGUCUUGGUCUUUGUAUCUUCUAACAAGGAAACACUACUUAGGCUUUUAGGAUAAGAUUGCGGCUUAAGUUCUUAUAAUCAAUCGUACACAUGACAUCAAGUUAUAUUCGACUCCAAAACACUAACCAAGCGUCUUCUUGCUUCUCAAAGCUUUGAUGGUUUAGCCAAAGUCCAUAUGAGUCUUUAUCUUUGUAUCUUCUACGAAGGAAACACUACUUAGGCCUUUAGGAUAAGGUUGCGGUUUAAGUUCUUAUACUCAAUCAUACACAUGAUAUCAAGUCAUAUUUGACUCCAAAACAAUAACCAAGCUUCUUCUUGCUUCUCAAAGCUUUGAUGGUUUAGCCGAAGUCCAUAUGAGUCUUUGUCUUUGUAUCUUCUAACAAGGAAACACUACUUAGGCUUUUAGGAUAUGGUUGUUUAAGUUCUUAUACUCAAUCAUACACAUGACAUCAAGUCAUAUUCGACUCCAAAACACUAAUCAAGCUUCUUCUUGCUUCUCAAAGCUUUUACGAUAAGGUUGCAGUUUAAGUU
rnacentral:sRNA from 1 species